rnacentral:rRNA from 1 species
UAGGGAAUCUUCCGCAAUGGGCGAAAGCUUGACGGAGCAACGCCGCGUGAGUGAUGAAGGUCUUCGGAUCGUAAAACUCUGUUAUUAGGGAAGAACAAAUGUUUAUGUAACUAUGCACGUCUUGACGGUACCUAAUCAGAAAGCCACGGCUAACUACGUGCCAGCAGCCGCGGUAAUACGUAGGUGGCAAGCGUUAUCCUGAAUUAUUGGGCGUAAAGCGCGCGUAGGCGGUUUUUUAAGUCUGAUGUGAAAGCCCACGGCUCAACCGUGGAGGGUCCUUGGAAGCUGGAAAACUUGGGUGCAGAGGAGGAAAGUGGAAUUCCACGUGUAGCGGUGGAAUGCGCAGGGAUGUGGAGGAAAAACAGUGGCGAAGACGACUUUCUGGUCUGUAUCUGACGCUGAUGUGCGAAAGCGUGGGGUUCAAACAGG